GUGUUAUGUUCUAAAAAGAUGAAGGAGGUUAAGUGAAAAUGUGAGAUUAAAACACCUAACUAAAAAAAAUGCCCAGUAUGUGUGUGUGGGUGUAUGUUCGAUCGAGAGAGAGAAGCCAGGAGGAACUUCUCCUUCAUAACCCUAGUCCUUCAAUUCCCCACAAAAUUGAAGGAGUAAAAGGCUGAGAUUUCAAUGCAUGAGCUAGGAAUCAUGAUUCCCUAAGUGUUAUAAGUGUCAAGAACAAAGAAGGAAGAAGGAGCAAGUCACUCCAAAGCGCAAGGAACCCAAGACCACGGUAAAUCUCUUGCUUGAUUGCGGCGCACUCGGACCGAACACACAAUGUCGACUUUUUACACGCUUCCGGUUCAAGUUGUCUAUUAUGUAUGGGUCAAAGUUUUUAUUUUGUGAUAUGGUGUUAAACUUGUAUUUAGUAUGUUAGUAUGUAGUUUGGAUUUCUAAACCUUUUGUAUAGGUUGUACAAAAUGUUUAUGGUGAACCUUAUAUGGUCACCACUUUGCUA